AUGUGCUGAGAGCCUGGACGGAGGGAAGAAGCGCUAAUCCUUUAGACUGGAUGAGAUCAGCUGAAACAGCCAGGACUAGACCCAAAAACCCCUCUGCUAGGAAGAUCAAGAGAAAAGGGAUAAAUUGAGAGAGACGCCUCAUAACCCCUUUAAAGAGCUUUGGAGAAGAGAAGAGCAGGAGAAUGGAAAGAUGCGUGGUGCACCCAUACAAGUUCAACUGGCUUUUUCCACGCCGAGCGGGAGCCUGAUUUUCACUCUGAUGAGGUCUUUCUUCAUUGUUCCAGGGGGAGGAAGAGAGAGAGAGGUCUAAAAAUUCAAAAGAUAAUGAGAGACUAGGCGCUUUUCUUAUUCAUCUCUAGCCCGCAUACACAAAACAAGCAUGCUGAACCACGGGAGGGCGUCCGCACUGGAUCUGAAAGGACGCGGAGUUUCUGCCGCCUAGCCACAGAGGGCUGCUUCCAUUGGAAUGGGGUCUCCGAUCAUCAAGACACAGCGGACCGCAGCCCGACUUGCGUAGGCCAACUCCCAACCCUACGGGAGCUUGCUCCGAGCUGGCCCCAGACACGUGCGUGGAGGAAGAGACAGACACGCGAAGGCACGGGGGGCAGAGGCAUCCCCCAAAGUGGGGAUAAUUCCUUGGCUCAGUCCGUAAUGAGGGAAGAAAAAGACCUCACCCACUAA
rnacentral:lncRNA from 1 species